UACUUAGUUAAUUCUGCUAGUAGUUAUAUGCUUGUCUUAAAAAUUAAGCUAUAUAUAUUUAAGUAUAAGCAAUUAUACUAUAAAACUACAAAUAGCUUAUUAAAUUAGUUAUUAUUUAUUUAAUAGUACCUUACUACUUAAAUAACUAUAAUAAUUUAAAAGCUAAUAUAUGCUAAAAACUUUAACUUUAAAAAGAGUAUAUUUAUUAAAUAAAAAACUAAUGCCUUUUAAAGCUUUUUAGUAAUUUAUAAUAACUUUUUAAAUUGCAUAGCUUUGCGCUAGCAACAGUUUAUUUAAAUUUCUACUUUAUUAACUUUUAAUAGUAAAGUAUUAGCUUACUAUAGUUUUAACAAGUAAUAAAGAAUUAGAGUUUAAUUUUAAAAAAAAAAGCUUAAAAAAUAGCUACUAUAUUAAAGGUAGGCAGCAGGUGCGCAAAUUACUUAAUUUUAAUAUAAAGAGGUAGUAAUAAUAAAUACUAAUAUAAAGCUCUUUAGGGUCUUGUAAUUAGAAUAAGUAUAAUAUAAACUUUUUAAUAAAGAAUAAUUAAAAAGCAAGUCUAGUGCUAGCAGCUAUAGUAAUUUUAGCUUUAAUAGUAUAUAUUAAAGUUAUUGCAGUUAAAAAGCUUAUAGUUAAAACUUUAGCUUAGCUAGUAAGUCUGCCUUACUACAUAUAUUUGCUUAGCUAAGCUUUUCUUUUUAAAAAACUAUAUACUCUUUACUAGGUGUAUUAAAAACUAGAACUUUUACUUUAAAUAAAUUAAAGUGUUUAAAGUAGACAUUUGCUUAAAUACGUUAGUAUAAAAUAAUAAAAUAGGACGUAUAGUUUUAUUUUAUUAGUUUUUAAAACUGCUAUAAUAAUUAAUAGAGAUAGUUAAAAGCACUAGUAUUUAAUUAUUAAAAGUAAAAUUUUUAAAUUUAUUAAAGACUAACUACUGCAAAAGCAUUUGCUAAAAAUAUUUUUAUUAAUUAGUAAAUAAAAGUUAAAGAAUUAAAAAUAAUUAGAUACUAUUAUAGUUUUAACUAUAAACUAUACUAACUAGAAAUUAAGUAAUAUUACUAUUUUAACUUGCUUAGCACUUUAUAAAAAAUUAAAGUGUUUAAGUUUUAAGAAAAGUAUAGUUGUAAAGCUAAAACAUAAAAAAAUUAAUAAAAAAGUACUACUAGGCGUAGAGCCUGCAGCUUAAUUUAACUUAAUAUAAAAAAACUUACUAAGUUUAAAUAAAAUAAAAAUUAAUAAAUUAAAAGCUUUUUUUUAAUUUUUUAAGUAGUAGUGCAUAGCUAUUUUUAGUUAGUAAAGUAAUUUAUUUACUUAAUUAUAAUAAUAAAUAAGACUUUAACUUACUAAAUAGCUAGGCUAGCUUUAGCUAGUUGCUAGCUUCUUAAAAAGACUAUUAGCUUAAGCUAAUAGAAGUUUAAAGUAAUAAUAAGUUUAUAAUACUUUUAAAUAUUUUAGGCUGCACGCGCGCUACACUAAUAAAGCUAAUAAGCUUUUUUUUUUAGCUAAAAAGCUUAAGUAAUUUUGUUAAACUCUAUUAUGCUAGAGAUAAAGCAUUAUAAUUAUUACUUUUUAAUAAAGAAUACUUAGUAAGCGCGUGUUAUUAGCACGCGUUAAUUGCAUCUCUACUUUUAUAUAUACUACUUAUUACUACUACUAAUUAAAUAGCUUAGUAAAGCCUUUAAACUAGCUUAAAAAAGUUAGUAAUAACUACUUUAAGCUAAAAAGUUUAUUAAACUUAGUUAUUUAAAAAAAGUAAAAGUUAUAAUGAAGUUUCUAUAAGUAAACCUAUAGAAAAAUUAUUAU